rnacentral:lncRNA from 1 species
UCCUGGCUUAGUGGCAAUGGGCACAGGCUGCUGAGCAGCUCCUCCACCUGUGCCAGUCUGGGGAUGCUGCCAUUGUGCCUCACUGCUCCCUGCUUGCUGCCCCUUCACAUUCUGGCAUAUCCCAAGUCUGACUCUUGCUUUUCCACACAAGGGAAUGGAAAUGGAACCCUUCUCCUGAUGUUUUUUCCAGAUCCCUUUUCCCACACUGUCCAUCCCUGGAAGGUGUCUCUGGCUGUGGUCCUCACACUUCUGCUUGGGUCAUUUGUCAUCAUUGUUUUUCUCUACAGAAAGCAAGCGGCACAGCGCAGAGAGCUGAGUGAGUCCAUGCAGCCCCUUCCACCACCAAAGUCCCUUGAAUGGAACUGAUAGAAGACUGCAGAGUGCUGGGUUUAUGCGAUGGGUUGGGGCCAUGGGAUCUUUGGGGCCUUGAGAUGUGUUGGGGCAAUGGGAUGUACUGGGGUUGUUGGAUGUGUCGUUCCUGAAUGAUCCACUUGCAAAACUCUUCCCCAAUCCAUUCCUUCCUAUUGGAUUAAUUCCUUUUUGCGGCCAAAGUGGUCAUUGGUCACUUAGCAGAACAAAAUGAUUUGGGGUCUGGGCAUGGUAGCAGCCCUGGGUUGAGAAGCUGUUCCCUCUGACCAUGCAUUUCCUUUGCUUCUAUUUUGCAGAGAGAAAAGAUGCAGAUUUGGUGGAACAAGCUGAAACACUAGGUGAGUUUUCUUCCCCAAACCGAGGAAUUUUGGGUCUUCCCAUGGGAAACUGUUCCCUCCGAUCAUCCAUUGCUGUUGUGUUUGCUUUUGCCUUCAUAUUAGUAAAAUUCCUUUUUGGGACCAAAGCAGUCCCUUGCCACUUACCAGAACAAAAAGAGUUGUGUCUGGGCAUGGGAGCAGCCAUGGGAUGGGAAGGUGUUCCCUCUGAUUCUGCAUUACCUUUGCUUCUAUUUUGCAGAGAGAAAAAAUGAAAUGCUGAGUAAGUCUGCCUCCCUAAAAUGAAGGAAAUUGUGGUCUGGCAUCAGGAUGAGAAGCUGUAACUUCUCUUUGUGACUCACUUUUUUUUUUUUUUUUUUUUUUUUUUUUUUUUUUUUUUUUUGCAGAGAGAAAGGAUGCAAUGUUGGGUGAGUCUCCCUCUC